rnacentral:rRNA from 1 species
GAGCGGGCCCUUCGGGGUCAGCGGCAGACGGGUGACUAACACGUGGGAACGUACCCUUUGGUUCGGAAUAACGCUGGGAAACUAGCGCUAAUACCGGAUACGCCCUUUUGGGGAAAGGCUUGCUGCCGAAGGAUCGGCCCGCGUCUGAUUAGGUAGUUGGUGGGGUAAUGGCCUACCAAGGCGACGAUCAGUAGCUGGUCUGAGAGGAUGAUCAGCCACACUGGGACUGAGACACGGCCCAGACUCCUACGGGAGGCAGCAGUGGGGAAUAUUGGACAAUGGGCGCAAGCCUGAUCCAGCCAUGCCGCGUGAGUGAUGAAGGCCUUAGGGUUGUAAAGCUCUUUUGUCCGGGACGAUAAUGACGGUACCGGAAGAAUAAGCCCCGGCUAACUUCGUG